CGGGCGUGAGCGGCACUCGGU
rnacentral:siRNA from 1 species